UGUUAUUAGUUACAUAUUUUCAAAAUUAUGAAUUAGGUAUGUUUUGAAAUUUAUACAUGCAGUAUGUAAUAGCUUGGUGACCAGUUUAUUUUGUUUUCUCAGAGACCGUCUUGGUGGCCCUUUGAGAUGUCUCCUGGUGCAUUAACUUUUGCUAUCCUCUGGCCUUUUAUUGCCCAGUGGUUGGUGCAUUUAUAUUAUCAAAGAAGAAGAAGAAAACUGAAUUGAAGAAAAUGGUAUUUAACUCAAGAGGACUGCUGGGCCUGGAUGACCUCAGGAUGAAAUAGACUGUGGAGCCCACAAGAUAAUGUUAGCUUGUGAUGAUUAUAUUUUUUUCUGUUGUCCAGUAGUUUGAUUUGUGUACAUGUAUACAUAUAUGUAUUUUGAAGUACACAAAUGAUAACAUUUUAAGGACUAAUAUUGCUGAUACUUGAAUAAUCAAUCCCAACUAGGUUAUAAGUAGCGUACAUAGAUUGACCCUACCCUUUAACUUGAAGGACAUUAAAUUAUUAAUUAUUGUUUGGUAACAUGUUUACCCGAUUAUCCACCAUAGAGAAAUGUAAGCUGCUUUUCCAGGGAACAGUUGUGAUCAUGAGAUCAGAUUUGUAAGUGGGUAUUUUUAAUUUUCUAAAUUAAAUAUGAGAAAGAAUGCAAAUUCCAGGAGUGAAUUUCAAAUGAGGGUUAAGUGGACUUUAUAUUUUAGUCACUGGAUUGCCAUGCGAAGGAGUAGAAAGCUGCUAGAGAGAACUGUCUCCACAUCCACUUUGUGGGCUGCCUGUACUCUUUCUUGGCCAUUCACAGCUCUGACUUGCGUACUCAAGCAUCAUUACAAAGUAGGGCCCUGUGUACUAGGCUUUCUUUUAACUAAUGAUUCAUAGAAAAGACGCGUAACCUAUCGAUGAAAAUGAAGGAUGGGUUGAAAGUGUAUUCUGAGCCUGCAGCUCAUUAAAGGUUUCUAUUCAGUCAUUUACACUGAUUCCUUUGUAAUCGUUUUUCUUUUAACUGAGGAUAUCUUGUUUCUGCUUCAUAGGGUGCUUUGAAAUAUAAAAUGAAAACUUACUUAUACUGUUUUUACAAAGGUCAAAAUGGAAACACGUGUAAGUCACUUUUCUGCAACUGGCAAACUGCACAGCCUGGACUCUAAACCUCCUAGUGCCUCUGUUUCUCCUUCUGGUAUGAUAUUUGAGAUGAUCUAUUUCACCGCAUAUGGGAGGUUUGCAAGCUAGCAGGCCAUAUGCAUCCAUGUGGGUAAGGCGUGCCCAAGUAAUGCCGAUCGAAGUGUCUCUCCCCCACCCCCGAUGUUUAGAUGAAGAAGAUGGUGACUUCACUCCUUGAAGGCUUUGUUUGGAGUUAUUCUUCCUGUAUACCUUCCAAAAGUCCCUUGUACUUUAAAUAUUUCUCUGAUUCAAUGGCUUAGUAGCAAAUAAUUUUUAAGCAUACUUGGUAUGUAUGAUGUUGGGUUUAGCAUUAUGUGUUCAUGCUAAGUUUUCAGUAAGAGAAAGUAAUCCAUCCCCAGCAUAGAGGAUGGUACUUUGUUUGUCUGAUGAAAAAAAGUGUAAGAAUACAACUGGCUUCUCCCAAGACUCCUUUUUCCUUAUUUCUUUUCUGUCGUGUAACUUGAUUUAAAAAUUUUUUUAAUCCCUUCUUGAUUAAAAUGUGUCUGAAGAGAACUACUAAUCCUUGCCUUUUCAAAACUUUCCUCUAUUUAUGGAAAAAAAAUGAAGCAAGUGAGUGAAUUAUAUGUAAAAAUAAGGUUCAGACCUGGUGGAUCAGAGGUUAUU